GCCUCGAGCCAUCAUGUCUGGCUAAUUUUUACGUUUUUUUGUAGAGAUGGGGGUCUCGCUGUGUUGUCCAGGCUGGUCUUAAACUCCUUGCUUCAACAGAUCCUCCCACUCCAGCCUCCCAAAAUGUGAUUACAGGCUGAGUCACCACGCCUAGCAUGGUUUUUUUUGUUUUGUUUGUUUUGUAAGCAAAAUUGACAUACAUACUGGAGGUACAAUUCUGUAGCUGGCCUUCUUUACAGAGUUUAGAAUAAAUGUCUUUCCAUGUCAAGUUUUCACUUACAUCCUUUGUAGUAGUUGCAAAAUAUUCCAUUUUAUAGCUGUAUCUUAAUUGUGGAUUAAGGUUGGAGUGCAGUGGCACUAUCAUGGCUUAGUCCAGCCUCAGCCUUCUAGGUUCAAGCGAUCUUCCCACCUCAGCCUCCCAAGAAGCUGGGACUACAGGGACCCGCCACCCCACCUAGCUAAUUAAAAAAAAAAUUGUAGAGAUGGAGUCUCAGUGUGUAGCCCAGUCUCAAGUGACCCUCCCUCGUUGGCUUCCCAAAGCGCUGAGAUUGCAGGAAGAGUGUCUUCAUCUCUGCAUCCCUAGUGCAACAGAGCAUGACAAAAAUUCAACAAAUAUUUAUUGAAGAGUCUUGAUGUCUUUUGGGAAAGGAACUCUAUGGUUACCUUUACUCUAAGAUUAGAUGGGUGUUACUGAUUCUUACCUCAGAGAAGAGAAUGUCAUGGAGACAAAAUGACCUGCUUAGAGUUCUGCACCCCCCAGCAUGGAGAGCAGAGCGCAAAGAUUUCUUCCGGACUCCCACAUUCCCCUUGGAAUCCAAGAACUGGUCUACUGUCACAACACUUUAGUACCCUCUUCUCCCAAGGAGGCAGCAGAAACUGGGGUAAUCACAACGGUCAACAGCAGCAAAGGCAGCACUUUC
rnacentral:lncRNA from 1 species